rnacentral:lncRNA from 1 species
GGAUUGCAUAGUGACUGCAUAAGGAUUGUAUAGUGACUGCAUAAGGAUUGCAUAGUGACUGCAUAAGGAUUGCAUAAGGAUUGUAUAGUGAUUGCAUAAGGAUUGCAUAGUGACUGCAUAAGGAUUGCGUAGUGACUGCGUAAGGAUUGCAUAAGGAUUGUAUAGUGACUACAUAAGGAUUGCAUAAGGAUUGUAUAGUGGCUGCGUAAGGAUUGCAUAAGGAUUGCAUAGUGACUGCGUAAGGAUUGCAUAGUGACUGCAUAAGGAUUGCAUAGUGACUGCAUAAGGAUUGCAUAGUGACUGCAUAAGGAUUGCAUAGUGACUGCAUAAGGAUUGCAUAGUGACUGCAUAAGGAUUGCAUAGUGACUGCAUAGUGACUGCAUAAGGAUUGCAUAGUGACUGCAUAAGGAUUGCAUAAGGAUUGCAUAGUGACUGCAUAAGGAUUGCAUAAGGAUUGUAUAGUGAUUGCAUUUGGUCUAAUUUGUCAUUUAACUGAAACAGCUCUCCAACUACUAGGCUUCUUUACUCUACGUUUUGGCUUUUCAGUCAUUUUUGAUUUGUUUGUGUGUGUGUGUGCGUGCGUGCGUGCGUGUGUGCGUAUGUGUGUGUUCAUUAACCCCCAAGUGUGCAGAGGUCAGCUGCUUUGACGAUGUUGCACUACUGUUCCAUCGGCUGAAGCAGUGCAACAGUAUUGUCAUGGCAUCUGGCCUCCGCCACGGCUUCCCAUGCAAUCAGAUGCUAAGGACUGAGGGGCAUAUAUGAGGGGUAUAUAUGAGAGGUAUAUAUGAGGGGUAUAUAUGAGGGGUAUAUAUGAGGGGUAUAUAUGAGGGGUAUAUAUGAGGGGUAUAUAUGAGGGGCAUAUAUGAGGGGUAUAUAUGAGGGGCAUAUAUGAGGGGCAUAUAUGAGGGGCAUAUAUGAGGGGCAUAUAUGAGGGGCAUAUAUGAGAGGUAUAUAUGAGGGGUAUAUAUGAGGGGUAUAUAUGAGGGGUAUAUAUGAGGGGUAUAUAUGAGAGGUAUAUAUGAGAGGUAUAUAUGAGGGGUAUAUAUGAGGGCUAUAUAUGAGGGGCAUAUAUGAGGUGCAUAUAAUAAGCACAAGAGUGAGUCCUCCCUCACUGGGCCUAUAGGAUAAUUCUGCAGGCCUUCCCUCUCACUGGGCCUAUAUGCUAAUACUGCAGGCCUUCCUUCUCCCUGGGCCUAUAGGAUAAUACUGCAGGCCUUCCUUCUCACUGGGCCUAUAGGAUAAUACUGCAGGCCUUCCUUCUCCCUGGGCCUAUAGGAUAAUACUGCAGGCCUUCCUUCUCCCUGGGCCUAUAGGAUAAUACUGCAGGCCUUCCUUCUCACUGGGCCUAUAGGAUAAUACUGCAGGCCUUCCUUCUCACUGGGCCUAUAGGAUAAUACUGCAGGCCUUCCUUCUCCCUGGGCCUAUAGGAUAAUACUGCAGGCCUUCCUUCUCCCUGGGCCUAUAGGAUAAUACUGCAGGCCUUCCUUCUCACUGGGCCUAUAGGAUAAUACUGCAGGCCUUCCUUCUCCCUG